UAAAAUAUGGGAAAUGCAGUGUCCACAGAUGAAGGUAACAUCCAGUGUGGUGUCAGAGGUGGCUCGCGCCUUCCUCCUGCGUCUCUUGUCUUUAAGUGCGUCUCUUCUUUGUUCCUCAAACUUGCUGACUGCAUUGAAGAUCGUGUGGCGCCAGACAUCACGGUCCGCAGCCAGGUCUGACCAGCAUUGGU